AGAGUUUGAUCAUGGCUCAGAUUGAACGCUGGCGGCAUGCCUUACACAUGCAAGUCGAACGGUAGAGGGCUUCGGCCUUCGAGAGUGGCGAACGGGUGAGUAAUGCAUCGGAACGUGCCGUGUAAUGGGGGAUAACGUAGCGAAAGUUACGCUAAUACCGCAUACGCCCUGAGGGGGAAAGCGGGGGAUCGUAAGACCUCGCGUUAUACGAGCGGCUGAUGUCGGAUUAGCUAGUUGGUGGGGUAAAGGCCCACCAAGGCGACGAUCCGUAGCGGGUCUGAGAGGAUGAUCCGCCACACUGGGACUGAGACACGGCCCAGACUCCUACGGGAGGCAGCAGUGGGGAAUUUUGGACAAUGGGGGCAACCCUGAUCCAGCCAUGCCGCGUGAGUGAAGAAGGCCUUCGGGUUGUAAAGCUCUUUCGGCCGGGAAGAAAUCGGUGGGUCUAAUAAAUCCACUGGAUGACGGUACCGGACUAAGAAGCACCGGCUAACUACGUGCCAGCAGCCGCGGUAAUACGUAGGGUGCGAGCGUUAAUCGGAAUUACUGGGCGUAAAGCGUGCGCAGGCGGUUUUGUAAGACAGCUGUGAAAUCCCCGGGCUCAACCUGGGAACUGCGGUUGUGACUGCAAGGCUAGAGUACGGCAGAGGGGGGUGGAAUUCCUGGUGUAGCAGUGAAAUGCGUAGAUAUCAGGAGGAACAUCGAUGGCGAAGGCAGCCCCCUGGGCCGAUACUGACGCUCAUGCACGAAAGCGUGGGGAGCAAACAGGAUUAGAUACCCUAGUAGUCC
rnacentral:rRNA from 1 species